UACGUAGGGUGCGAGCGUUAAUCGGAUUUACUGGGCGUAAAGCGUGCGCAGGCGGCCCGUUAAGACAGGUGUGAAAUCCCUGGGCUCAACCUAGGAAUUGCGCUUGUGACUGGCGGGCUUGAGUACGGUAGAGGGGGGUGGAAUUCCUGGUGUAGCAGUGAAAUGCGUAGAGAUCAGGAGGAACACCGAUGGCGAAGGCAGCCCCCUGGGCCUGUACUGACGCUCAUGCACGCAAGCGUGGGGAGCAAACAGG
rnacentral:rRNA from 1 species